rnacentral:rRNA from 1 species
GACGAACGCUGGCGGCGUGCCUAAUACAUGCAAGUAGGACGCAGUUGCGCACGGGUGAGUAACGCGUAGGUAACUCCCUAUUAGAGGGGGGUAACUAUUGGAAACGAUAGCUAAUACCGCAUACUAGUAGAUGGACCUUCGUUGUAUUAGCUAGUAGGUAGGGUAAUGGCCUACCUAGGCAACCCUACAUAGCCGACCUGGGGAGGGGAUAGGGCAAAAUGGGACUGGGGAACGGGCCAGACCCCUACGGUGGGGAGCAGUAGGGAAACUUCGGAAAUGGGGGGAACCCUGACCAAGGCAAGCCGCGUGAGUGAAGAAGGGUUUCGGAUCGUAAAGCUCUGUUGUUAAGGAAGCGGUACUUAACCAGAAAGGGACGGCUAACUACGUGCCAGCAGCCGCGGUAAUAC